rnacentral:rRNA from 1 species
GCCCAAAGUACGGAAUAGCCUCUGGAAACGGAGAGUAAUACCGUAUGUGCCCUACGGGGAAAGAUUUAUCGCCUUUGGAUUAGCCCGCGUCUGAUUAGAUAGUUGGUGGGGUAACGGCCUACCAAGUCGACGAUCAGUAGCUGGUUUGAGAGGAUGAUCAGCAACACUGGGACUGAGACACGGCCCAGACUCCUACGGGAGGCAGCAGUGGGGAAUCUUAGACAAUGGGCGCAAGUGAUCUAGCCAUGCCGCGUGAGUGACGAAGGUCUUAGGAUCGUAAAGCUCUUUCGCCAGGGAUGAUAAUGACAGUACCUGGUAAAGAAACCCCGGCUAACUCCGUGCCAGCAGCCGCGGUAAUACGGAGGGGGUUAGCGUUGUUCGGAAUUACUGGGCGUAAAGCGCACGUAGGCGGAUCAUUAAGUCAGAGGUGAAAUCCCGGGGCUCAACCCCGAACUGCCUUUGAUACUGGUGAUCUUGAGUUCGAGAGAGGUGAGUGGAAUUCCGAGUGUAGAGGUGAAAUUCGUAGAUAUUCGGAGGAACACCAGUGGCGAAGGGGCUCACUGGCUCGAUACUGACGCUGAGGUGCGAAAGUGUGGGGAGCAAACAGGAUUAGAUACCCUGGUAGUCCACACCGUAAACGAUGAAUGCCAGACGUCGGGGGGCUUGCCUUCGGUGUCACACCUAACGGAUUAAGCAUUCCGCCUGG